rnacentral:lncRNA from 1 species
ACGCGCAUCGGGGUGUCGCUCCGCUCCUGUCUCACCUCGCCUCCCAUCUCGCCGUCGUCGCCGGCCAAGCCGUCGUCGCCCCCGCCGGCCAUCGCUCCUCAGGUCCGCCCCGCCCCGUCAGCCCCUCCCCACCCCGCAGUUCGCCCCGCCCCACCCCACGGCGUCGUCGCCCCAGCGAGAUCCCGCGGGUCGAGGGACGUCCUGCGCCGGCCGCCGCUCCCACUAGGCGGCCGCUCGUACGACCGCGACGGCGAGGCCGCCUCGGGGCAAUGCCGCGGCGCGCUCUGCGACCGCGCCUGCUUGGCGCGCGACGACUCCGUGUUGGCCAUGUAGCUCGCGCCAUGGGCCUUGCCGCGGUGGCGCGCGCUCGCCUCGGACCCCGCCGCGGAGAAGGAGGCCGAGUAGUGCUCCUCCUCUAAUCGGCCGCUGAACGUCCGCACGCUCAAGUCCGACGUCAUCCCCGACGGCCCCGGCGACGCCUUCUGGUCGUAGUACAACUCCGCCUUCACCGGCGUCGAGCAGCAGCUGCUGCGCCAUGCGCCGCUGUCCAUCCCCCCGACGCCCUUCCCAUUCUCCUCCGAGCCCCUGUUGGCCGCCUCCUGCAUUGCCAACAACAGUGGCUUCCGGGGGGAGCAGUAGUGAUGCUACGGCGACCGGCGGCUCUCUCUUCCUCUCGCAUGUCCCUCCGUAUUAGUGAAAAUGUGAUUUUUUUUUUUUCCGUCCUGGGCUCUGAUCUGCAACGGCCGUGCUCGAUCUGCGGCGGGUACUAACAAGACGGUGCGACGAAGCUUAUUCUUUCGAUCCAUCUUACACUCGAGCCGGUUUGUGCAUCAGGCGCAGGUCUGACUACGGCAUGGCUACGGCCACACAGCAGCCGCGGCUGUAGGAGAGCGGCCAGCUCCGACAUGUUCAUCCGCCCGCUCUGGGACUCCAUCGUCAAGCACACCAACCUGAAGGUUUGCUCCUCGUCGGUGUUGUAGAUUCUUCGAUUCCUUACACAGAUGCUUUCAUACUGAUUGGCCUGAGUACUAUAGAUUCUUUGCUUAAGUUGAAUUGAUUGGGAUGUUACAAUAGAAUUGUAGAUUCUCUGUUCUCCUUAUCUUAAACUGAAUAAAAAGUCAGUCUCCUAAUCUGAAUAUAAUCUCUAUCUGAAACUGAAAUUGUAACAGAUGCUGUAGUAAAAAUUAGUUGAAAAGUCAGUUAAAAAUUCAAUUUUAGAGCUUGGCUCCUGAUCUGAAUAUAAAGUGUACUGUCGGCUUAAUGCAAGCAAACAAGUUUAAAAUUCAAUCUAGAAGUCAGUCUAAAUGUCAGUUAAAAUGAUCUGAAUAUAAAGAAAAGUUGGAGUAAAAAUACAGUCUAAAAGUUAGUUAAGGUUUCACUUUUAGAGAGUUGGGCUUUUAUUGCAAGCAAGUUUUGUAGUGUCGUACAGUAAUUUUUAGUUUGUAAAAGUAAGGAGUGUAUUUUUCAUUUUGAAACUGAGCAGUGUAUUUUGAAUUUUGGUGGAAAAUCAGUCUAAAAGUCAGUCUAGAAUGAAUUUAAUACGAAUUUAGUUAACAAACUAGGAAACAGAAAAACUAGACUCAUGGAGUAGUAACAAAUUCAAUUAACAAACUAGACUGCAUUUAAUCUGAAUAAUAUUGCAGGUACACUCUUUUUGUAGAGAUUGCACUUCAUUUUUGGAAUUAAUCCACAACAUUAUCUAUAGAUUAAUGGUCCUAAAUUGUAAAAGUACAGCUAUAAGUGCAAACCUGAACAUUUUCAGAACCUCAACAAUUUCAGUUAGUAGCUGAAAACUGUUCAAAACAUGAUUCACUUCAAGACCUAUUGUUUAACUUAAUCAAUUUACAAUCUCAACAAAUAGUCCAUUUAAUUCCACUCGAGGAGUGGACACUUAACAUAAGAUAGUCCCAUUUUAAUUUAACUAUAGUCUAUUUUCCUUGCAAAUAUAGCGUAACUUUUCAUUUCUGAAACUUUUAGCCUCAAAUUGUAGAUCUCCCGGUGCAUCUCUAGAACAACAAAAGAUGCAAAAGGCUGGGAGGGCUGAAGAGACCAAGAGAGCUCCAUUUGAUUAGUACCACAAAAAUAAUUGGGCCCAUUGGAAUAUGUUUGGAUUUUUCCAUGGAAUUUAAGAGCACUUUUAAAUGCAAAAAUGACUCUGUUUUGAUGGUGGGGUCCACACCAACAUCGAGGGUGAUUUUGGUUUCCUUAAUAAUAAUUGUUUUGGAUUAUUCCACAAUUGUGCAACAUUUUUCCGAUGUUGUUUGGGGAAUUAUUUUAUUUCCAUAUAAUUCAGGGUCAUUUUGCGUGGAAUUUGAAAAGAGAUAUGAAUUUCAACUUGAUCAUAUCCAAUUUAGCAAAAUGAUUAGUUCUUGAUCAUGGUCAUCACUGUAGCUUAAUUACAAUGCUCACUGUAGCAAAAGUUGAGGAUGUCACAAGACCGGCAUACCCCAUUAAUAAGCCACAAUUCUUCACCUGUGAGGUAGCUCUAGAAGCUUUAAUUUCACGUCAACCGAUUAUUAUGAUUUGUGCUCAGCAAAGGACCUACCUAUUAUUUUGAUUUUACACUACCGUUUUCGUUCACUGGUUAUAUAUGUUGGGACUGUUGAUAUUUUUUGUGAUUUGCAGUUACUCACAACGGAUUUCUGUUUGAUUUUUUGGAGUUUUUGCAGGUGAUACCUCAACCUUUAUAUGCAAGUGCCAAAAGAUCUCAGGUUGUAUAUAUUUCCUUUGAAAUACCAGGUUGUGUCCUGUUCUAAUGCCAGAUUAUGUGUAUUUUAAGCCUUUUUCAGACAUCGAAGCUAGAUAUGAUGCAUCAAGUGAAGAAGUUAGGAUUCAUUCCAGCUUGCUGCAACCUUCAAGUGAGCCCAAUGUUUCUCCUUGUCUUAUAUUACUCCAAACAUUUUUUUCAUUAUUCCAUUGAAUACAUUUGUUUUCAAUUUUUCAAUGAAGUGCAAGUAAUGUGUAUAUUGUGUGUGUUUCAAUAUUUUUGCAGCUAUAUAUAUAUAUACUAAAAAUUUAAUAUAAAAAGCAAUUUAUAAAUUAUUCGGUUAGUCGUGUGUUACACGUGCAUGCUAACUAAUGUUCUAAAAUAAUCGUCACAAAUUCAAAUAAGUUCCCAUUUUGUAAAAUUGUUUUUUAUUUUUCUUUCACAUUUUAAGAAUAACGUUCACAAGAUAAAAAAAUGUUCGCAUAUUCAAAUUUUUAUCCAAAACUAAAACAAUGUUUGAGCUUUUUCAAAAAGCCCCAUUAAAAAUCCUCGGGACUUUCAACCGUCGUCUGCGAAGCGGAACCUUGGCUCCCAGCAGAGCGAUUCUAUAGGGAAAACUUCCCUCCAUGAGAGGAAAUUUAAAGCCUUCGUUAUCACCAACACUCUGUUCAUCAUGGAGAUAAUUAUCUUCAUCAACAUCUUCAUCAACAUGAUCUCAUCUCCAAACCAUAAUUCAUACCUAUUGUUCAUUCUUUGUAUGAAACCUCAUAUUGAUAAACCGAAGUACUUAUGUGUGUUGAUUACACAUUGUAGGUUAUGCAUAGGAGAUUUAUUGGUGAUUUAUUUUUGUGUUUAAAUUGUUCAUCAUAUAUUUGUACCUACUGACCAUGAUCCAUAUGAAUGUUGUGAGUAGUAUUUCAUUUAUUCUUGAGGACAUGGGAGAUGUUGAUUACCGCUUAAUAUGUUGCGUUGUUCUUCCUCUAGUGAUGUGAUACGUAGCAAAUGUAUGUAUAUUUUUAAUUACUUCAUGUUAUUAUAUUACCAAUAUAUAAUAAUUUUUAGAAUAACCAAUUAAUUUAGUUUUCAAUGUGAGUUAUGUUUUCUGCAAAUUAUUAGUUUCGCGGGAAAUCAAUACGUAGGAAGGUCAAAAUGUAGUGCCAAUUUAACAUUAUUUUUUUCGGGCAAUGAAGGACCUAGAAGCUUCGGAAAGGCAUGGGAGGAGCCACAGGGAGCCUACACGACCAGGUGACGCACCACAGGCCUAAGGCGUGCCACCACAACGUGUGGGCCCACCUACACCGCCUUUCCUUCAUCCCACUCCUACUUGUGAAUUAUGUUAGGUUUUAUCCCGAAGAGGAAGGUUGAAGCAAUAUAGUAGCGAUAAAUAUUUCCCUCGGCAAGAACCAAGCUUCAUCAAAUCAAUAGGAGAAUCAAGACAAACUCUCGUCAUUACCGCCUACACAUAUAAAAUCAAACACUUACACCCAACACAGGAAAGAGGAUUGUCAAUCUACUUGAACUCGUUACUUGCAAGAAUUAAUUUUGAUAGAGAUAGAUAUAUAAAAAGUCAAAGCAAAUAAUAAGUAAAUGAUUACAUUAAGUUUUUUUUUAUUUUUUUAGCAGUAUGAUUACAAUCAACGUGUCGGGCAACCAUCACACAACCGUCGGAAGGCAUCCGACAUAUACAUGCACUAUAAUGUUAAUAUGUAACACUUUUUUUAACAUAAUACAUACAUAAAUGC